rnacentral:rRNA from 1 species
GACGGAGGGUGCAAGCGUUGCUCGGAAUCACUGGGCGUAAAGGGUGCGUAGGCGGUCUGUCACGUCUGCUGUGAAAACUCGGGGCUUACCCCGGGCCUGCAGUGGGUACGGGCAGACUAGAGUGCGGUAGGGGAGACUGGAAUUCCUGGUGUAGCGGUGAAAUGCGCAGAUAUCAGGAGGAACACCGGUGGCGAAGGCGGGUCUCUGGGCCGUAACUGACGCUGAGGAGCGAAAGCGUGGGGAGCGAACAGG